rnacentral:rRNA from 1 species
ACUCCUACGGGAGGCAGCAGUUGGGAAUCUUGGACAAUGGAGGAAACUCUGAUCCAGCCAUGCCGCGUGAGUGAUGAAGGCCUUCGGGUUGUAAAACUCUUUCGACGGGGACGAUAAUGACGGUACCCGUAGAAGAAGCUCCGGCUAACUUCGUGCCAGCAGCCGCGGUAAUACGAAGGGGGCUAGCGUUGUUCGGAAUUACUGGGCGUAAAGCGUGCGCAGGCGGCCAUCCAAGUCAGUGGUGAAAGCCCGGAGCUCAACUCCGGAAUUGCCAUUGAAACUGUUUGGCUCGAGUACGAGAGAGGUGAGUGGAAUUCCCAGUGUAGAGGUGAAAUUCGUAGAUAUUGGGAAGAACACCGGUGGCGAAGGCGGCUCACUGGCUCGUAACUGACGCUCAUGCACGACAGCGUGGGGAUCAAACAGGAUUAGAUACCCUGGUAGUCCACGCCGUAAACGAUGAACGCUAGCCGUUAGGCAGCUUGCUGCUUAGUGGCGCAGCUAACGCAUUAAGCGUUCCGCCUGGGGAGUACGGCCGCAAGGUUGAAACUCAAAGGAAUUGACGG